UACGUAGGGUGCGAGCGUUGUCCGGAAUUAUUGGGCGUAAAGAGCUCGUAGGCGGUCUGUCGCGUCGAUCGUGAAAACUUGGGGCUUAACCCUGAGCUUGCGGUCGAUACGGGCAUGACUGGAGUUCGGCAGGGGAGACUGGAAUUCCUGGUGUAGCGGUGAAAUGCGCAGAUAUCAGGAGGAACACCAAUGGCGAAGGCAGCUCGCUGGAACGGUACUGACGCUGAGGCGCGAAAGCGUGGGGAGCGAACAGG
rnacentral:rRNA from 1 species